GGAUAAAUGGGUGAACCGAACGUCGGAAAGAAAGCCGGGCCAACAAAGACAGACCUCAAAUCAUGGAAGGCGAACAAGAAAUUUGAGGCUUUUAUGGCAAAGAUGAGAAAGAUGUGGGAGAUCCUCGGUGGUGGUGGUCCGUAGGUGAGCCAAUCAUGAUGGGUAAUGGGGGGUUUUCCGAGGUUUUAGACUUUUAGUAUUAAAUAGUUGCUGUGUUUGUUUGUCCCCAUCAUGAUGCUCUCUGAUCUGUCCCCAUCAGAUCCUGCAGGUGUAAUUUUUUAAUUUCAAGUCAUGCUUUUAGGAGUCCGGUCUGUCCGAUCGUUAUGGUUUUGAGUCGAUGUCAUGGUUUUAGGAGUCCGAUCUGUCCGAUCGUUAUGGAUUUUCGAGUCGAUGUCACGGUUUUAGGAGUCCGAUCGUUAUGGAUUUUUGAGUCGAUCUGUCCGAUCUGUCUGUCGUAGAUUUCUCACUCUUUCCCGAAUGAUCCAAGUUCCAAAUGAGGAAUCGGGAGCUGAUGUAAUAUUUCCAACAUGAGAUGAUAUAUGAGAAAGAAAUCUUUAUUUUUGUUUAUUUUUUGUUGUUGUGAAUUUCCUUAUUCCUUAAUAUAUUUACCCAGAGAAAAUAGUAUUCAACCAAAACAAACAAAACCCAG
rnacentral:lncRNA from 1 species